ACAAAGUACAUCCUUCACAUGGAUGGAUCUAAAAAGCAUGUCUAAUGAAAGGACACAAAAUAAUGUUUUCAGGUCAAUCAAUUGAUAUAAGUCACAAAAACAGGCAAAACUAAAUCAUGUAUGAUUAAGGGAUAUACAUGCAGAUCAUGUGGUAGAUUGCAAGCAACAGUCACAAAGUACACACCCUCUUAGAGUUUGAGGGGCAUCUGGACCAUUGACAUUUUUUGAAGUCUUCUGAUACAUUAAAGAAAUGAAAAAAAAAUCCAAAAUAGGGUAGCCAAAAUUACCAUGUUUAUUUUUAUUUCCUACACAUUAGCAUUUUCAACACAAAAAUACUGUAUGUUCGUGUCAAUACAAGAUUUAUAAAAAAAAAAUGCUCGCUUAUUCUCAUGCAUUGUAGGCUGUGUGAUCCAGUGCUGGGACAGUUUUAACUGGUGAGAUGAACUGAAGGUCUUUCAAUGCUGGAAGUGAUCAUUGAAACCAGAUAUCACUACAUUUGAACUUAACCUCCAAAGUCUCUGAAUGGGAAGUCAUAGGCUGAAUGCCUUCUUCCUGCAACUGGCCUCAUGUCUGGAUUAUUUCACCAAGGUUUGAUGUUAUACCAAGGAUAGCAAGGCACACCGGAUGUCUGCCAGCUGAGCCUCCACAUUAUCGAUCAGACACUGGAUCUGGGCCAGUAAGGCUGUAUAUCGGGCCUCUGUCUCCACCAGGAUGCAUUCCUGGGAAUCUCUCUGCCACGGAGGAGGAAAGUAGGAUUUAUAACGAUGACUUGUUGGAGCCUAGGUCACUUGUAAACUGCAUCAUUUUAAACAAUGGUUUCUUUGGGGCAGGUACUAAUGAAUCUCCAACCCUCUUAUUACUUCCUAACCAAAUAAAUCCCAAACCAAAAUUAUCAACUAUGCUAAAGCUCACUUCCCUUUAUACUCUUAACUUAUUUUUGCCCUCUUUUAAGUAUUUACUUCUUUCUUAAUCACCUGAUAAUAUCCUACCACACUCUCCUACCUGUGAGACAAAAAAGUAUUCCAAUUUAUUUUACACCUGGGCUAUGAGAACCUGUUACUAUGGCACCUCAUUCUAUGAAUAUUUAUACCUUAAAGAAGUCAGCAGCAUCUAACGCAGCAUAUCUAAAACAUGAGAGUUGAAACUUUGAUGAUUAAAGUUCUUUCCUGCUUCGUCAUUCUGUAAGUCUACGGACAAUGGAAUUUUAGGUUUGAAUAACCUAUCAUUUCCAUGGUUUUCCCAAUUUUUAGAGAGGAGAAGACUGAGGUUCAAGGGGUUAAGUGAGUUGUCCAUGGUCACAUGAUUAGCUGGUGACAAAACCAACUUUGGGGCAGGCUCUUCCAAGUACCCUUCAUAUCAGAGCCAUUUAAAUAACUCCUUACAGGGCGCCUGGUUGGCUCAAUGGGCUAAGCCUUUGCCUUUGGCUCA
rnacentral:lncRNA from 1 species